rnacentral:rRNA from 1 species
AGGCAGCAGUGGGGAAUAUUGCGCAAUGGGCGAAAGCCUGACGCAGCAACGCCGUGUGAGGGAUGAAGGCUUUCGGGUCGUAAACCUCUGUCGGAAGGGAAGAACGGGCAUAGGUCUAAUAGGCCUUUGUUUUGACGGUACCUUUAGAGGAAGCACCGGCUAACUCCGUGCCAGCAGCCGCGGUAAUACGGGGGGUGCAAGCGUUAUUCGGAAUUACUGGGCGUAAAGCGCACGUAGGCGGCUUUGUAAGUCAGGGGUGAAAUCCCACGGCUCAACCGUGGAACUGCCCUUGAAACUGCAGAGCUUGAAUCCUGGAGAGGGUGGCGGAAUUCCUGGUGUAGGAGUGAAAUCCGUAGAUAUCAGGAGGAACACCGGUGGCGAAGGCGGCCACCUGGACAGGCAUUGACGCUGAGGUGCGA